rnacentral:rRNA from 1 species
AGCGAACGCUGGCGGCAGGCUUAACACAUGCAAGUCGAACGCCCCGCAAGGGGAGUGGCAGACGGGUGAGUAACACGUGGGAACGUACCCUUUGGUUCGGAAUAACUUAGGGAAACUCAAGCUAAUAACGGAUAAGCCCUUAUGGGGAAACGUUUACUGACGCAGGAUCGGCCCGCGUCUGAUGAGCUAGUUGGUGAGGUAAUGGCUCACCAAGGCGACGAUCAGUAGCUGGUCUGAGUGGAUGAUCAGCCACACUGGGACUGAGACACGGCCCAGACUCCUACGGGAGGCAGCAGUGGGGAAUAUUGGACAAUGGGGGCAACCCUGAUCCAGCCAUGCCGCGUGAGUGAUGAAGGCCUUAGGGUUGUAAAGCUCUUUUACCCGGGACGAUAAUGACUGUACCGGGAGAAUAAGCCCCGGCUAACUUCGUGCCAGCCGCCGCAGUAA